UAAACAGACCCCGAGAUCGAUCACAGAUUCACCGAUGCAGCAAUGGAGAGGGCACGUGCCGCAUACUUCUCACCCAGUGAACAGCGUCUUACCAUGGACACUUAUGAAGAGGUGAGCAGUGGAAGUUCAGCAACUGCUGAUUUCACACCAGCAGAAGAGCUCGCCCUGGAUCAGAACCGAGGCAGGCCGAUGAUGGAGGACGGAGGGGGGGAAACCGCCCUCUUCAUACAAGCUCAAAGCAGACAGUAACUGAUUACAGUAUUUUUCAUUUAAAUAAAAUG